CUACGGGAUGCACCAGUGGGGAAUAUUGGACAAUGGGGGAAACCCUGAUCCAGCAAUGCCGCGUGUGUGAAGAAGGCCUGCGGGUUGUAAAGCACUUUCGGUUGGGAGGACUGCUUCUAGCACUAAUAUUGUUGGAAGUUGACGUUACCUUCAGAAGAAGCACCGGCUAACUCCGUGCCAGCAGGCCGCGGUAGUACGGAGGGUGCAAGCGUGUAAUCGGAAUUACUGGGCGUAAAGCGCGCGUAGGCGGCUAGAUCAGUCGGGUGUGAAAGCCCCGGGCUUAACCUGGGAACUGCAUCCGAUACUGUCUAGCUUGAGUACAGGAGAGGAGAGUGGAAUUCCACAUGUAGCGGUGAAAUGCGUAGAUAUGUGGAGGAACACCAAUGGCGAAGGCAGCUCUCUGGCCUGAUACUGACGCUGAGGUGCGAAAGCGUGGGGAGCAAACAGGAUUAGAUACCCCUGUAGUC
rnacentral:rRNA from 1 species